rnacentral:lncRNA from 1 species
AAACAGGAAGUAUGCUCUCUUUUUCCCUCCGCUCCUGCUCUAGCGGCACAAAGUGAUCCACCGGCAAGAGAGAUGCCAAUAAGGCAUCCGAUAAAAUAAGUCUUAUAAAAUAUAUAGGUUUAUGAUAGUUAAGGCUGAGCUAGCAGAUGAGAAUCCUAGUCAUUGGCCAAGCAGCAUUGAACCUAAUACAAGUUUCUGUGUAUUCAUUUGGGCCUAACUUGGGCAGGCGGCUGGCGUAAAGCUCACAUGUGGCAGUGGGGCUCAGCGGCUUUUGGCGGAAAGAUUUAUAACAUAGGUUGUCCAGAAGGUCUUAGACACCGUUCAGCACAAUCCACCAUGCUGCUGAGGCCACAUGUGGGUCCAGAAAGUUUUGACUUGCAUUUCAUCACCUGGUGAGUCUGUGGGCCCGCAGCGCCUGCUGAGCCAUCGUGCAGCUCCUGGUUUUGCUGGUGAAGGUUUAACAUCCCCUUUUCGUCAAUGCAACGGAGCUGAGGAAGGAAGGAUUCAUGAGGGAAAUCCACAAUCUGGACCUCACAGCAUUGUUGGGAGAGAGGAACACUGUUUCCCUUGGUCAAGGUCACACAGAUAACCAAGCAGGGCCAAAGCCAGAACUGUGGAAUCGCAUCCUGGAUCCCAGGUUUUCAUUCUUUCCACUUCGGGGUCUCGCCUCGUCUUCUAUUUACCAUCAAAUAAAAGCGGAUUUGCCUUUGUCCCUCCCGAAGUUCACCAUGUUGCACCUCCAGAUGGUCUGAGGCGCAGUUCUGCUCGGGGACUCGUGUUUGUACGAUGACAGCAUCUAUAUUUUUUCUGGAUGAAUUAAUAAUCGACUUGCCAUUGUAUUGAGGAAAAACCAGACAUCACCUCAUGGUCUCAGAAAGGGAGCGUCAUUUUCC